GACAGAUGAGGGUAAUGAUUGAUGAAUGAUCAAUGUCCCAGAGAGAGACAGCGAGAGAAACACAUUGUGUAUUGAGGCUAGUUGGUUAGUCCGUCAGGAGUCAUCAUGAAGAAGACAGCGUUGACAAUACUGCUACUAGGAGUUCUACACAUCACACACCCUGCUACGGGGAUCAAUCCUGAGGUGCAGGUUUCAUCAAAGAUCAUUACCCCUGCCCCCACCAGCAUCACCCCUGCCCCCACCACCAUCACCCCUGCCCCCACCACCAUCACCCCUGCCCCCACCACCAUCACCCCUGCCAUACCCCGUACUGACCAGUACCUUGGGCCAGAACAAUGUCUGGAUCAGAAGUACACACGUCUGUCCUGUCAUCGGGUCUUCUGUCCCCCAUGGAUGCGAUGUAUGGAGGGAAGGUGUGUCUGUAAGCUGCCCUACCUGUGUCCGAAGGAUGGCAUGGCUCAGGUGUGUGGGCACGAUGGAAGGACCUAUCUGUCUUACUGCCAGGCUAUGGCUGUCUCCUGUCGGACUAAACAACCAAUCAUGUCACAUUUUGGAGGAGAGGGCUGCUCUAAAGACAGCAUCAAGGCCCAGACCAGUAUAGAUGAAGAGACCGGUGUGGUCAGUAUUGUGUUACCCAUUCAAGGGAAGCUGCUAGUGUGUGGAGUCGUCGGAGGAAGAGGAGGAUCCAACUGGAACAUGGCUGCGGCUAACGUAGCCUGUUAUGAGAAGAGUCCGUGGGGAGCGAAGGAGGCCAGCUCGGUGCUGUAUAAAACCAUAAAGUCCCCCGAUGCAGACCACUGUGUCAGCGUUCUUUGUCAAGGAUACGAGAACAGCCUCACCGAGUGUUCCUUCUCCGACAGAACUCCUCUCGGCCGCGACGACAAGGUCGCCACGGCAACAUGUUACCACAAACCCAAAGAGGGGUCGGCGUGUGAGUUCAGGUGCGUCAACGACAAGUGUGUGUCGUUGGAACAGACGUGUGACGGAGUGGACCACUGUGGAGACAGGAGUGAUGAGAUGUGCUGCACAGCCUGCAGAGGGGACUCUGCGUUCUGGUGUAAGUCAGGAGUGUGCUUGUCCAAAGAGGCUGUAGAGGACGGUAUAAUGGACUGUCUGGGAGGAGAGGACGAGAUGAACAAACACAUCACUAAACCUGUAGUUGGCCGCAGUGGAUCAAGCAAGACUCAUGAUACCAGAGUUCCAGAGUUCAUUUCUCCUAAACAAGAGGUAAAAGCAGCCAGGGAUCUUCUAGAAGUGAAGGUACACUGUGGAAUCCCCAACAAUACAGUCUUAGAAGAAUCGGACAGAGGAGAAAAGAGAAAGAGGCAGAAACGAGUGGUGGGAGGAGUGCCGGCCCAACCGACUCAGAUCCAAUGGCAGGUGGCGAUACAGGAGGGGGAUAAGAUCGACUGUGGUGGGGCAUAUAUCGGGGGAUGCUGGAUCCUGACCGCCGCUCACUGUGUCAGGCCCAAACCAGAGGUGUACUGGAUCAAGUUCAGUCUCUGGAAGAAGAGAUCAAUUCAGGGAACAACAGACAUAGUUCCUGUCAAGAACAUCAUCAUACACCACAAGUACAAUGCUAACACGUAUGAGAAUGACAUAGCCCUGAUAGAGAUGGAGAAGCUUCCAUUCAAGACCCAAUGUUUCGAAGAGAACCCAGCAAUCAGUGCUGUGUGUGUUCCCUGGUCCGUACAACUGUUCAACCCUAACCAUACCUGCAGCAUAUCAGGCUGGGGGAGGAAGAAAGAUGGUUCGUCAUCUGAUGUGCUGCUCUGGGCCAACGUCUCUCUGAUCGCCAACUGUCAAGAAUUCUACGGUCCGCGUUACUACGAUGGAAUGAUGUGCGCAGGUGAUCUGGAGGGCCACGUGGACUCGUGUCAGGGUGAUUCUGGAGGUCCUUUGGUGUGCCAGGACUCUCUAGGUGUUUCCUACCUCUGGGGUAUAGUCUCCUGGGGGGAGAAGUGUGGGCAGGCCAAGUUCCCUGGAGUGUACACUAAAGUGGCACACUACUUCGACUGGAUCCGCACUCACACUGGCUGGGCUGCUGUCACUAAAUACAACCUGUAAUAUCACCCCACCUGGUGUCCCAGGUCUAAAUCAGGCCCUGAUCAUUAAUACCAUCCCACCUGGUGUCCCAGGUCUAAAUCAGGCCCUGAUCAUUAAUACCAUCCCACCUGGUGUCCCAGGUCUAAAUCAGGCCCUGAUUAGAGGGGAACAAUGGGGAAAAAAGCAGUUGAACUGGCUUCUUUCUAGGUCCAGAUUUGAAUUUGAGCGAUAUAGCCUAUUCAUACAUAAUACAUCGUUAUUACAAUGUUAUACGUUGUUUAUGCUGGAUGAUGUCAAUAAAGAACUCGAGAACCCA